CCAUCGUCCACCUAAGCCUCCUGAGUAGCUGGGACUAGAGGUGUGCACCAUCACACCAGACUAAUUUUUUAAAUUUUUUGUAGAAAUAUGGUCUCACCAUGUUGCCCAGGCUGGUCUCGAAUUCUUGGGUUCAAGUGAUCCUCCUGCCUGGGCUUCCUGAAGUGCUGGAGUUACAGAUGUGAACUGCUGCACUCGGUCCACACCACAUUUUUAACAUCAACAGGUAAUCUUCUCAUCUGUGAGGAUAUGGAACCCCAACCUCUUCCUGGACACCUGAUGAUCUGCUUGUGAUGGGCUCAGAGUCUUGAAACACAGAACUAUGAGCUCAUCUCAUAUCCCAAUCCAGCAGCAUGGAAACCUCAGACUGCAAGGCCCAAGACUGGCACUUGUUCUCUCCCAACUCUUUUCUUUCUCUCUCUCCUUUCUUUUAUCCCUUAAUUCCUUCUUGCUUCCUUCCAAGAUUUAUACUAUUACCUUUUAGGCAAAACAUCCUGAACAUGUAAAAUAAACUAAUUAAAAUCAAGUCAAUUUCCCAACUGUUAUUUGUUAAGCCUAUGCAAGAUGUCAA
rnacentral:lncRNA from 1 species